rnacentral:misc_RNA from 1 species
UGCAAUCAAAAGAAGGAAAAUAUAAUUAGUUGUCAUUGAGAACUUAAAAUUAAAAUUGGCAAACUUAAUUUAAACGAGAAUGCUUGAGGCCGAACUGAUUUUCGUUUUGAUUCUGAUUUGAGGUCCUUGACCAACUACAGGUUGGCAAAGCAACACCAGAGCGAUUCACUCUCUCAGUGAGAGAACGAAAAACUUUCGAUGACAAAAUAUGGCGGGUGCUUGCAAGUGCGACUACCCUCCUCCUUCCCGAAAGGACUUUGCACUGCCUAAAGAGGAUGUUCAGGAAAACGCACCUUCUUCAGCACCUAGUAAUCAGGAUGAAUUGUUUAACCUUCUUGUGGAUACAAGAUACAAAUGGGAAGCACAGGAAGAAUCUGACUCCAGCUUAAAUUCAAAACAUUCACCGUUCCCAUCUUGUUCUUUGUCGGAACCCGAAUUGUCUUCCCAGUGAGUUAGUGCUGUCGUGAAGAGCCCAGAGGAGCUAGCGUUGUUACAGAGCCGGAUUUAGAGAAUCGUUGCAGUGGAAUUAUGUAAUGUCACUGGAAUCAUCAGCCGUGUGGAAGGCUACGUCGAGAAUAGUUUAGUGGACAUCGAUAAGCUACAAGGAUCUCUGAAGAAAACUGGUGGACCGCCAGAGAAUGAUGAGAAUAAUUGCAAACGAAAUGAAGUAUUUGCUACCGAUGACCAUCAUUACUGGGAUUCAGACUCCGGUGAAGACGACGACAGGAUCAGCAUAGAAGAAUUACUUAAAACACCUGGAUGGCAGCUGCUCGUCAAGAACGUGGAAAGACGAAGAAAGCAAAGAAAGUCAGGCAAUCAAUGAAAAAUCACGCCAUUUUCAAAAAGCCAGUAUUUUUUUUUAAUCUAUUUAUUGUUUGCUAUCGCUUAAGGUGGCGAAAAGUGCUCUCCUCUUUCGAUCUCUCGAGAAGUCAAUCAUUUCCUGCCUUUUAAAUGAUAUCUGGCAGGGAAGUUUACAUUUCAGGAAAAAACGAAAUGUUUAGAUUACUGACAACAUUCAUGGCGAAGUAGUCUGUAGCUUUCAAACGUAGCUUUUUAUUUGUAUUUCCUCCUGCUUUGCUUUCCAACAUGUAAAGACGUUUCAUCUUGAUGCAAUAUAGCCUAAAUUAUUUAUGAGACACCUAGACUUAAAUACGUAAAUUUAUUUAUUCACUUUGAACACAAAACAGCUUACGACAAAGUUCGUAAAAACGUGCACGUGCUAAAUACUAAAAAAAUAUGUUAUAGCAUAUUACAAAAAGUAUGAAAAUCGUAAUCUUUUACAAUUUAUGAUUUAUGACCCGUCUCUUCCAAUCCGAAAAUGUGCAGUAAGAAAUCCCCAACUACUACUACGUAUGAUUCAUCAUUAAUUAACCGUCCCUUCUAACCCGUUUUAUCUAUGAAAUAUAUAAUACUGAAGAGAUCCCCAACUACUAUAACCAUUAUAAUGGUCAAUUAAAUAUCGGUAGCUCCGGUUAUAAAACAUGCCUCUUAAAAAAGCAAUUCUAAGCUGUUUUAAAAGCCUUGAUGUUUUCACUUUUCCUAUACUGACUUCCCUAGGUAACUUAUUCCAUAGCUUACUGGCAAUGAAGGAGAAAGAUUUAUACAGCCACUCAGAACCGUUACCUGCUAUGAAAAUGAUGUUCAAGCUGGACACUUGUUACAAAUAAGCUAGUUUCACACGGUAACAGUCACCCCUUACACGUUUAAUAUGUCCUGAACAGAACUGAAUGUUCGGAAGCGGCGAACGCUUUUUGCUCUUUUCAACCCGCCCCGGCAAAUGUGUAAUCACAUUCACUGCACGUAAUUUUAGGAUGAUUCAUCGCGAUGUAUAUAAAGCUCUUAUACCACCAUCCCUUUAUUGGGUGUACACUCGUGUGUCAGUAGCCAGUUUGUUUCUUAGAAUAUUCCCUCCCUAUAAUAAACUUCGAGUCGUAUACUGUAAUUGAAAUUGAUUUAAUCUGGUUUAUGCCUAUUUACAGUACAACCUAACCUAGAUACCGAUGUCGACGAAUGUCUUGUCUCGCUAAAAGCACUGAUCAAGUUAAUGUAGAUCAAUUAGUUUCAAAUGUCAAUCGAUUAGAUCAAAGGUCCACUGUACAAACAAAACAUUACAUAAUGAAUCGCUAAAACACGUGUCAUUUCACGUGGGUCCGCGUGCAACAUGUGCGAAGAAUCUGACACUCCCUACCUAAAGACGGCUGACUAGGAUAUUAAUCGUACCCACCUCCACAAGUUCAGACACAUUCAUUGUACGUAGCUUUUGGACGAUUUAUCGCGAUGUAAAUAAAGCUCUUGUACUACAG